GCAGGCAGCAGAGUUCACUGAGGGUUUACAUCUCCAAUUAUGUCCAGUUUAUACUGUAUAUCGCCUGGAGAAAACACACAUUUCGGGAGGUUGAACGGGGCGAGUAUGCUCGCUGUCUCAUCCAGCAGUGCUUAGUGGGCUGAGAAGUGGACGCUAAUCAGUAACUAUUAGGACUGGAGUCAUGAUGACGGGGGGAUGACUGCCCUGUUGAGGAGUUCACCUUACAAAGUCCCGCUGUAAGCGUCAACUGCACACAGGUGGAACAUGAGCGCCUUCGUCACUCUCACCACGGGCCAGAGGAUGCCCAUGGUGGGCCUCGGGACUUGGAAGAGUGCACCAGGACAGGUGAAACAGGCGGUGCUGGCAGCAUUAGACUGUGGCUACACACACAUUGACUGUGCAGCAGCAUACGGCAAUGAACGGGAGGUGGGGGAGGCCCUGGCCCUCAGGGUCGGUCCUGGCAAGGCCUUGCGUCGUGAACAAGUGUUUUUAACAUCCAAACUGUGGAACACCAAGCAUGACCCCUCGGAUGUUGAAGAAGCAUGCAAGACCAGCCUGGACCACCUGGGUGUCUCCUAUUUAGAUCUCUAUCUGAUGCACUGGCCUAUGGCCUUUCAGCCAGGGAAGGAGCUGAUGCCUCGACGAGAAGAUGGGAGUGUGUGUUACUCUGACACACACUACAAAGACACAUGGGCGGCCAUGGAGAGCCUAGUGGACUAUGGUCUGGUCAAGGCCAUUGGGCUGUCCAACUUUAACGCCAGACAGACUGAUGACAUCAUCAGAAUGUCCAGACACAAACCUGUGGUCAACCAGGUGGAGUGUCAUCCAUACUUGUCCCAAGUAGAUCUUCUUGCUCACUGCCGGUCAGUGGCAGUGUGCCUGACAGCCUACAGUCCCCUGGGCAGUGGGGAUCGACCCUGGGCCACCACCGAGGAACCUUGUCUGCUGCAGGACCACCGACUGGUAGAAAUAUCCAAGAGGUACCAUAAAACACCUGCGCAGGUCAUACUCAGGCAGGAAGAGAGUUCACUUUGUGCAUUGGUUUCAGCACCUUGGUGCGUUUGUUCCAUAGAACACCCACAUCAACUGAGUGGCACAUUCAGAGGGGUGUAGUGUGCAUCCCCAAAAGUGUGACCCCCUCCAGGAUCCAGCAGAACCUGCAGGUGUUUAACUUUUCUCUGUCAGAACACGACAUGAAGCUCAUUGACUCCUUCAACUGCAGCCAGCGCUUCAUCGUGCCAACAAUGGAGCGGGACGGCAACAGAGUUUGGAGAGAUGCUGCACACCCUCAUUUCCCAUUCAAUGACCCUUACUGAAUAUGAAUUUUCAUUCUGGAUUAGAACAUAAACCUGAAACUAUUUCAUCCCUAAUUAAGUGUACGUAUAAAAUGUUUUUUUGGUUUACACAACAUCUAACUAAUCCAGAUGUUUGUCAAUUAAAUGGUUUUCCCAGCAAGAACAAUAAAACAGUGUCAUAUACAUCAGUUUUCUUUUUAGCUGGAGUGUAUCCCAGCUGACUAUGGAUGAGAUGUGUGGUACAGAAGUUGGGGCCAGUACAGAUCUUUACAGGAUCUUUAGUCAAACAGUAACGGGUCACAGCAUUAACAGUAGUGUACACUGUCGACAGGGAGCUGCAUCAAUGUUCACUACAGAGUGCCACUGUGUGGUCCGCACCAGAAUAACAAGCAGCACUCGAUUGUACCACACACCUUUGGGCAAUCGUAAAAUACAGUCACUGCAGUCAUUUGAAGCGAGCACUAUUAACACUUUGUGAAAUUUUAUUUUCAACAACAUAACCUUGACAAAUUUGUAAUACAUUAUAUGCUACUGUUUUAUUAAAAAAAAAAGGAAUUUAGCAAUGUUUUUUUUCUCCAUUUCUCAGGUUCUAGCGUAGAAUCCCGCCACUAAAAUGUAUCCAUCAUAUACUGAAAACGAGGCCACUCAAACUCCCCACACCCACUGGAAAAGCUUGGUUACUCACCUUCCAUUUGCAAAUAUCUCCUUUUCCCCUCCCACCACAAAGCGAGGGCAAACCAAGUGGCUACAUGCUGUCUCCGAGGGAAAAAAAAUCAUACAAAAAAACAAAAAAAAAAAACAGGAACACAAGAAAGAAGCACAAAGUCCUAAAAAGGUGGAAUCUGGUGAGAAUUUGCACAGGUGUCAUCCCUGUGCUGACCGCUGUGGGGCAGUGUGUAGGUUUAUCCAUAAAGGUCGUCGUCGUUAUCUUCAUUGAAAACAGGACCAGUGCCACCUCCUCCUGAGCCGUGGCUUGGACCGCUACCACCUGUUGUACUGGUGGGGAACCUGACAAAGAAGAGACAGGAACCAACAUGAUUUAAUAUUUUGAAAGGAUUAUUACGUGGCUGUGUAUUUUUGGUCAACAUAAUCUGUGCUUCAGUCAUAAUCUCCACUGCAUUACUCAAAUGCAGUGGAUGCAGAAACAGUGAAAAACAUUUACCUGAAGCUGCCGAAGCCACGGCUCUGCUGCAGCGUCUGUGCAAACAUCUCGUAUUUGCGAAUGUCAUUGUCACUGACGGAGCGACGGGCAAAUCGCAUGGCCUCUUCAAAGUGGUCCUUCCUAAUCUCAGGCACAGGAUCAUCCUCUUCCACCUCCUACAAAGAGCAAACCGUGUUAGAAUCAUGGAAGGUGAUAGAGGCAAAGAGGA